rnacentral:rRNA from 1 species
UGAAGGUGUGUCGUAAGGCAUGCUGGAGGAAAUACAAGAGCAUAUGCGGACAUGAGUAGCGAAAGACGGGUGAGAACCCCGUCCACCGAAAGCUCAAGGUUUCCUGGUAGAGGUCAAUCCAACCAGGGUGAGUCGGAACCUAAGGCGAGGCUGAAAAGCGUAGUCGAUGGCAAACGGGUUAAUAUUCCCGUACCGAAUUUGUGGAGCGAUGCAGGGGAGGAGAAGGAUAGUGGGAGCCCGUUAAGGAUUCGGGGUCCAAGGUUGUAGGAAGGUGGUGUACAGAAAUGGCACUGUCGUUAAUCUGAGAACUGAUGGCGUAAGUUUCAUGAUUCCAUGCUCACGAGAAAAGCUGCUAAGCGUUGAAGCAAGUUUGUCCGUACCGCAAACCGACACAGGUGAGCUGGUAGAGUAUACCAAGGUGUUUGAGAGAUCCCAGGCAAAGGAACUCUGCAAUCUACUACCGUAACUUCGGGAUAAGGUAGGCUUUCGAGUGUUAAGGCGCAAACUGCCGUAAGCAUGAGAGAGUAGC